AAAAGUGAUAAAAGACUUGAAAAUACCUUCUGUAGAGGCAUCCCAUUUUAAGAGAUUGUUCAAAGUCAACUCCAUUUAAUGUAGAAGACAAGGAGCAUAAACAAUGAACUGAAGAUAUAAAUUUGUUUUCAGGCGAGCCAGGUAAUGGGCCUCCUUGAAAGCUGAAAAGGGCCAUGCUGAGAAUGCAGGGAAAGCGAUACUGAAGACAAGGAUGUUUGUGGGACAAGAAGCAAGGCAUACCAUAAUAUUACUCCCAUUCUCCUUGGACCACCGAUUUCAAGGAUGUUCGAAGCAAGAUACAGCUGCCUCUCCGCAGUCUGUGCAUUUAGAAGAAAUGGAAAGAAGGAAUACCCCUGAGGUGGAGGUCAUCCCUGCUAGAUCACAUUUGCCUGCUCUGAUUCACUCUCAGGAGGAGCACUGCAAAGAGAAGGUACCUCUUCAUACAGAUCUUGCUGGAUACAACUGGAUCAAUUGAACUUAUGUGAGAGAGAGGUACAAAGGAAGUAAAUGCAGGUACGUAGAUAAUUUACAGGAAAGUUUAGCCAAAGUAGCUAAGUUUUUACUAACAUACAAUUAGCUGAAAGUGAUGGAUUUUCUUCAAGUGUUGGGUAACUUACUAGUUAAUACGCUGGACCAUUUUUCCUGAAUAUGUUCAGAACUGUGUAGGUUUUUGAGUCUUCUAUUUCUAAUAACAGACAGAGCAAAUUUUAAAGGAGAAGGAAAAAAGCAAAACAAAACACACACACAUGCAUACAAAAAAUGCAAAAACAAAAACAGCAACAAAAACCUCCAUUGGUGGGUUUUGGAAUCUCUUAAUCCUAUUUUUGCUUGUCUCAAUACCAUGUGCAUUUCCUGAAGGGGCUUGUGUGCUGAUCUGCACUAUUACCAUAUGUUCUACAUAUGAAAAUAAUUCGGUGAGAGUAGUUGUCUAUGUUUGUAUGCGGUGCAUAUACACAACAUACAAACACACACACACACACAUUCUUAUUUAUACUCAUAAAUCAUUGCUUUCAAGAACAGAUGCCCUUCUACUGCUCUGUACCUCAGUGUUUCUACACUCGAGAGUGCCUUAAUUUGGAAAAAAUUGCAACUGUCACAGCUCUGCUGCAGUAAUGGUUUUGUAAGAACCAACUUAAUAAAAACAUCAAGCCUCUCUGUUCCAAACAAUUUUAUUAUAGUUAACAACUCAGCCAGUUAUCAAAUAUGUUGUCACCAAUGCACUCUGUCUUCGUGAAUGAUGACAUGGACGAGCCCUGGAUUUCUGUAGUGCUUUACACAUAUACACAGUGCCUUACAGCUGUGUAGCAGCGUUUCCUUAAGGAAUAAAACUGCACAGGAAGUAGAUAGAUGAACCAUGUGAUAACUAUUUUUUGAUGAAAAGCUUCUACAGACAUCAAAUUAGUUUACCUGAAAUAAUUUAAACAACAGUAGAAUAAUUACAAAGUCCACUGUCUGGACCUUGACUUUUCUGAAACAAGCAUACAAUUUUUAAUAAUCAUGACCUUCACCUUCAGCUCUGACCUUUGUCUCUCCAAAACAUACCCCUUUGCUGUAUAUGCAUGGAUGUCUUAACAUGAAUAACCUCCUUAAUGUAGAUACUUAUAUAUCUAAACUUCACAGAGACUUUUAUGUGCCUUGAAUGUAGUUUCUAUGUAAAGUGUGUGUUCAUGUAAAAGCCAUAGUUUUCCACUUAGUACUUUUUUUCAUUAAAAGCACAUUGAUGUCACCUGCACUUUGCCCAGUGGUAAAUCUCUGUUUGAAAUAUGCUGCCUUUUUAUUGUUAUUUUUCAAGAAUAUGCUACAGAAAUGUUCUCUGUGCAUCAGAUGAACAUGGAGCUGGGUAUUAUGCUACACAGCCUUGUACUGAUAUGCAGUUUUCCUCCACUGUUUAAAUGUCUGAUAUUUCAGGGACCAAUUGGUUUAGAAAUUGAAGCUAAGAAACGUUGAAUUGAGAACUGUGACAAAAUGUCAGUUCUGUAGAGUUUUACCUUUAGAAAACACAACUGAGUUUGACUCACUAUGUUUUCUGGUAACCAGCGAAUAGAAAAUGUGUUCUUACUGAUUUUAUUUUAUUUUAUUUUAUUUUAUUUUUUUCCUAUCUCCAGAGACACAUUCAGUGUAUGGUAAACUAAAGCCAUUAUAUUAUUCCAGAAAACAGAUGUGAUAAUUAAGAACAGGAAUAAGUUUCAAAAUUCAAUGGAAAAAAUAGUUGUCAAGUUUAUUUCUGAAGAGAAGCACAAACAAAAUGCAUGCCAAUGUGUGGAUGAUUAAUGGGGGAAUUUCCAAAGUCUUUCCAUUAGUUCCUUUAUACUGCUGUACACAAUCAUGCAUGCUUUGUAUGGCCAUCAUAACUUUACGCAAUAUACUUGACCAUAAUGCCAAUCAACAGUUUCUCCUGGCAAACAGAAAGUGUUAAGAACUUCAAUACAAGAAGACUUUUUCUGCUUCAGAUGGAAUGGAUUCUGUUUGUCAUUAUUCACUUCCUCCUCAACUUGCUCAGUGUGCAUCUAAAUUAAUUCCUGUCACUUAGGUGCUCUCUUGAUAAAUACACGAUCUAUAUUUAAUGUCUCUUUAUUCUCAUUUUAUUAUACUUGUAUGCAGUAGUGAAAGAAGAUAACGGGCAGAGCAGUGUACCACAGCAGAGAAUUUGAUAUUGCUCCUUUUCACUUUUUGGUGGAACAGCUAUAUUUAGCAACACAGACUGUCAGCCACAAAUUGCCUACCUAUGUGCUCACUUUUUCCAAUCCGUGAUAUAGAAUUCUCUGUACUACAUUGAUAAAUAUCACCACGUUUCACCCAUACAGCUAUAGUAAUUGUUUCCAUAGAAACUGAUUAAUUUACAAAUGUUCUGAACUGGAAGAUUAAUUGGAAGAGGAGCAGAGGCGUAAAUCCAGUAUAAUAGGUGCUUGUGUGGGUGCUGUAAGGCUUUUGUUGCCUGUGCCAUAGGCAGUGCUUUAGUUAAGGAAAAUGAGGGGUUGAAAUUCAAUAUUUUAGGUGAGGUGUGAUUUACAAUUGCAAACAUAUAGGAGUGCAGAAGUCAAAAUAAUAAACCUUUGGUAAAUUUGCACACUCCUCCAUUUGCUACAUAUAAUUAUUUCCUGUCUGUGGUAUUAAUUCCUUGUGAGUAAAAGUUUCUCAUAGCAUGUCCUGCUUCAGUGUUGCUAAGUUCACCUAUUGAAUGCAGUUGGUUGUGUGGUGUUAGUUGUUUUUCUUUGUUUGUUUUAUUUAUGUACUUUGUCUAAAAAGCCAUUGAGUUUUUCUGUUAUGGGCAAGGAAAUUUAAAAGUUCCCAUUGUUUUUCAGUGCAGUAAAAAUAUAUUGAGAACUUCCAGUGCAUGCAGGCUGCAUUUAGCAUAAACAGGAAUCACAACAAUUGCUCGUUGUAAAUGAAAAAUCACUUGAAUUUAUGGCAUUGUUUUUUUGAUGUUUCUCUUCACAAAGAGGAAGAUAUUGCUGAGGCUACGAUCAUGGAUUUCCUUGCAAGACUGUCUUCUAGGCUCUUUGUUCUCUUUAGUUGGUGCAAAGUAGUUAUGGUAACUUACAGUGCAAUAAUUCACAUAUCCCACAAAGUUUAUUUGUUUGCUAAAAACAAACUACCUUUUUCCUCCCAGUACUUUGAAUCUCUUCUCGGGCACGCCAUUAGUGAAGUGCUUUCUUUCCAAAUCUGGAAAAAAAAAACAAAACACCAUCAAAUUGAGACUUAAUUUUAAGCUAUUUCUGAACGGAAGUAAUGAUGAAAAUAUGAAUGUUUCACCACGUUGUGAAACAUACAAGUAACUUGGAUUUAAAAACCUGUUUUUACAGCCUGUGCUUUCUAUGUUUAUGUGCUCAGGUCUUGGGGCAGCGAAGGACCCCUUACCCAAACUGUAGGCGCUACAAAUGAGCAAUGCAGUCUGGCCAAAUCUCAGUGACCCCCUCCUGCAGAGCUCAGGCUGGGCACUGUACAUUCCUUUCUGAUACUUUGGUGCUCCAGGAGGAUUUCCAAAAUCCUUUUUCCUGGGUUGGGUGCCUUAUUGAUGUCAAAAAACAAUGAAUAGAAUAGAUAUAGGAGAAAAAGAGGCAGGCACUGUGGGCUCGGUUUCAGGUGUUCAAAGACUCAUAGAAAAAGAUUCAUUCUGAAAAGUGCAUGCAAAACAUGAUUAUUUGGAAAAACAAUUAUUUGGAUUCAUUGAUGUUUAACUAUUCAGAGGGCAUCACUUGAGUUUAUGAAAAGUCAGAAAAAGUGCAGGAGAUACUAGGAUGGAUGCAAGUUUGAGGAAAGUAUCUUUGUUUAUAUUCUGGGAGAUGGGAAAAGGUGACCUCAAUUUUGAAGUUUCUGCUUCAGGACAAUGUUAACGGCCAGAUCAUUAUGUUGCAUAAAAUCUUUUUACAGCAAUAUGCUAUUUCUAACUUUUUAAAAUAUUGUGCAGGCAUAAGGACCAAAUGCCACAAUGGUUUGUUAAUAAAAUUGCCACUUUGCCUAAUACAAGACUAACUCAAAUAAUGUGGAAAACAACAUUUCAAAGUCUUUCAAAUACCCCUUCCUGAAGUAUACAUGUAAUUAAGGCUGACUGAUCUUGCAGUUAGUUAUAGUAGGUGCUGAAGUUAUUUUCUUCCCUGACAAAAGGCAGAAUGGAUGAAAUCCUCUCAGAGAUUUCCUGAUAAUGGUGCAGAUUGUGUCUUUGAAUGAGAGACCCUGAAGUUAUACAGCACUGAUACUCCAGCUGUUCACCUUCUAAUCCCCCAGGUCAGGAAUCGGUCUGUGAUUCACAGGCUUCUGCUGUCCAGGCAUGCACAAAACAUACAGUCUCUCCCCAUUUUGAUAUUAGGCUGCCUUUGUACUUGCGAGCUGAGCCUGGUUUCAUGCUGCAUCUCUUCUCAGAACACCUGCAACUCCUUUAGGUUGUUGUAAUUCCACAGCACAUCACUCUAUUUUGCCAGCAAAAAUAUUGAGUUCAGGCACAGCUGCAUCAAUUAGCUCCUCAAGUCUGCAAAUAGUGAUACUGGUGACAUUUUUUUGGAUGAAUGAGGGACCUACUGGCAAGUACAUAAAUGAAAUGAUCAACAUUCUCUUUCAUGUUUCUUUGUGUUUAAACAUUCUUUUACCAUCGUGUACUUUGAAAGUGACAGUCUUCUGCCCUUAGCUCAUAAAACACUAACAAAUAUUUUGCAUCUGUCACUACCAUGCUUCAUAGAUGCACAGAUGUACAUGCUGAUUAAAUAUACAAGGGCUGCUCUGAAAGUUAUGCCUCCUACUUUAUUAUAUUGGCCCAUGAGAUAAAUGUUGGUGUUACGGCAGUAAAGGUUGAACCUUCCCAAGAAUAUUCUGUUACAUUUUGCUGCCAUGCAACAGAUGGCAGCAGAGGGGCAGUGUGACAAAAUGGCAUCUGACAUGGAAGUGCAUGUGAAAAAAGGGGUGUUAUUGAAGUCCUCCAUACAGAACAAAUGACACCCACUGACAUUCAUCAACACUUGCUGAACAUCAGUGGAGACCAAACAAUGGAUGUGAGCGCAGUGAGGCGGUGGGUGGUCUGUUUUAGCAGUGGUGACAGUUAUAUGAAAGAUAAGUAUGGCAUGCAAGCCCUUGGCAAAAAUGCAUAGCUAAUGGUGGUGCUAAAAAUAGCUUUCUGUAGCUCAGAAUUCUCUCCAUCAAAUAGUGUUAUUGUGCUCUUUGUAUCUGUUGUAGUUUCCAUGGAAAUUAAUGGGAGACAUUACUUCCAGGGUGACCUAUAUGUAUAAAUAUGUAUUUACCUUGGUCAGAGAUAACUGAUAUUUUGUGAUACAAACUACUUUAUUAUACAACUAGUGUCUUAUGAUCACUGAAUUUCAUUAUGUUGUUGUUAUCCUGUGCUGUUCCAGAUAGUUUCUCAUCUUGUUGUCUUUCCACAGAUACCCAGCCAAAGCCAAAGGAACUAAAGCUCACUGUAUCAUUAGGAGGAUGAAUCCCUCCUGUUGCUUUAUUUCUUUUCCAUUUGUUUGUUUUUUCUUUUUGUCUUUUUUGUUUGUUUUUGUCUUUUCUCUUUUUGGUAACUAAAAUCCAGAUCUACUAGGACACAUUUUGAAGAAAAAAAUGUUGGAAUGAUGGGGAAUAUAUCCAUCAACAAGAUGAGGAAAAUAGGAUCAAAGCCCAGGAAAGAGGAAGUCAGUUGGGAGGGCUGUGCAGGUGAAUUAGAACUACAAUAGUAAUAAACACUACACCUUAAGGUUUAUGACUGACCUCAUGGGCCAGUCACUGGGGCUGACAGUUGGAGAAUAGUAUCUAUUUUCAGAUAAGUAUAAGGUUUUGAUUUGUUUUUUGUUUUUUGUUUUUUUUUUCCCAGGUUAAUGUAGAGAUAAAGCAAAUCUUCUGAACGUUUGCCCCUAGCUGGAGCCCUGAGAGACAGGAGAGUAUACAUGCAUUAGACAUCUACUCUACCCGGCUGAUUUCAGGCAAUGAUUUGGAACAGAAGAUAUGAAGAUAUGAGCUCUGCCCUGCUUGGCUUGACACAGAAAAGAGAUUUUCUGUUGAUAUCACUGUUGGGUAGAACUGGUGCUUGACGUUUUCAUUAAAAUAACAGAUACAGCUCUACUUGCUGCUGUAGCUGCAAACUCCCUUGUUUAUAUUGCCUCUGUUUUACUUUCAGGGCAGGAACAUCCCCUUGGUCCUCAGACUGUUUAGAUUCAGGGAAGCAGUGAAUGUCAGUGUGUGUGUAUGUAUUCAGUUCCCUCUCUGUACAUUUAGAAAUUGUAAAGGGAAAUUUAUUGUGAAGAGGGAAAAAAUAUAGGACUGGUUUCUGUCCCUGUGCUAAUAUCAUGGUAUUAACAUAGGUGAAUUGCUGCUGGUUGAUAUGAGCCUGGCUUCCAAGAGGACAUUCUUGUAGCACCUUGAUUGCCUGGGCCACCCCUCCAAGGAGGCUCAGCAGGCAGCCUCAGCCUUUCUUGUUUGCUGUUUUGUUGUUUCAGUUCUCAGCUGGAGAUUAUUUCUCCUUUCUGUCUCCUCUUGAUACAUGAAUGUGCUGUGUCAGGCUUGCCUUCAGGUCAGUGUCCUGUGCAGGCCUCGCCAUGGUGUCAGCAGUAAGCAGAUCUGAGAAGGCCAAAGGCAGGGCAUCAAUGGAAAAUGAGCCUAACAAAUGGGAAGUCAGGCUGGAUGGCCAGCCAUAAUGUCUUUCCUCUCACGAAACAUGACAGAAAGGCACAACAGAAAAGGCUGCUUUUCCUUAUCUUUAGCCUUUCACCUGGGUUUGUUUUUUCCUCUGUCCUAAUGGUUCCUUGUCAGCUUUUUCUGUGUCCUGACUUCCUUUCCCCUGAGCCUCUCUUGAGAGGCAGAGGAACAGGGUCUGAGCAAGGCAACAGUGGGCAACAAGCUAUAAAUUUGACAGAUUAUGAACGUGCUUCAGUGUGCUGUGUAACCUGUAAAUCAAAACCCAUUUUAAGACCAGCAAUGAAUCCCUGUAUAUCAAAAAGCAGGAGAUGUUAGAAUAGGCAGUUGCUGCCUCUUACAAUAGCUCCUCCAGAAACACAUUGUGCAGAGGGUCUUGUAUUCAUCAUUAAAAUUGUUUUCUUUCUUCCAUUAGCUGCUAUGCAGCAUGUAUGUAUUAGAAGUCACGGCUAGUAUGACUUCAUUGAUAAAGCUCCAUUGUAUCCAACAUGAAAAGAGAAUAAAAGAGGUAAUAUUCUCUGGCAUAUCAUGUGGACUCUCUUUUUACAGCAUGG
rnacentral:lncRNA from 1 species